rnacentral:precursor_RNA from 1 species
CUAACUUUUUCCAAGACUGGGCUCCCCACCACUUAAACGUGGAUGUACUUGCUUUGAAACUAAAGAAGUAAGUGCUUCCAUGUUUUGGUGAUGGUAAGUCUUCCUUUUACAUUUUUAUUAU